UGAUACUGUAGUCUUGAGUAUGGUCAAGGUAGGCGGAAUGUGUAAUGUAGCGGUGAAAUGCUUAGAUAUACACAGAAACACCGAUUGCGAAGGCAGCUUACUGGGCCGUUACUGACGCUGAGGCACGAAGGUGCGGGGAUCGAACAGGAUUAGAUACGUGGUAGUCCGCACAGUAAACGAUGGAUGCUCGCCGUCCGCGAUAUACAGCGGGUGGCCAAGCGAAAGCGAUAAGCAUCCCACCUGGGGAGUACGCCGGCAACGGUGAAACUCAAAGGAAUUGACGGGGGCCCGCACAAGCGGAGGAACAUGUGGUUUAAUUCGAUGAUACGCGAGGAACCUUACCCGGGCUUGAAAUGCGGACGAUCGGGGGUGAAAGCCCCCUUCCAGCAAUGGCGUCCGCGUAGGUGCUGCAUGGUUGUCGUCAGCUCGUGCCGUGAGGUGUCGGCUUAAGUGCCAUAACGAGCGCAA
rnacentral:rRNA from 1 species